ensembl:lncRNA
UUGGCAAGUGUCAGUGAUGUUUUCUUUGACUGUACUUUUGGGAAUAUUGGUCAUCGCUAGUUGUGGUAUCAUUCCUUGUGUCAGAGGAUGGUUGGUAAAGAUAAUGGCGAGGGUUGCGAACCCUGCCUGGGUUGAGGGAAAUUCUUUAUUCCUAUUAUAUAAUCUGCAUUAUUAUGAUUGCAUUAAGAACAUGUUUUACAGCAUUGUUUACCAGUAAUAUUGUUUACAGGGUUCAUAUUGCAUUGAAUAGGUUUGUUAUCACACUCAUUCUAUUCACAGGUUUAGUUCAUUUUAUACACAUUGCAUAUCUGUGCUUGUUUAGAGUUGAUGUUCUAUCCAAGAGGGUUUUAAGCUUCACUGGUGAGAGUGUCCAGGUGAUACAUGUUGAGGGAAGAUGAGAACAUAGCAGGGUAAAGGUGGACCACAGGUUGCUUUGUUUCUGCUUAGCAACAACUGAGGUAAAUGGUGUUAAAGAUAAAUAUGCAAUAAGUGAACAAGAAAUGUGUGAGGGUGAGCCGGGUGAAACAAAAUGUUGUAGAUAAUGGAAACUUGUCUAACGGGCAUUAACAGUAACCUUUGCAUGUUAUGUAUAUGCUUGAGGCCAAAGGAGGCAUAAAUCCAGAUAGAAAACUUUGAAGUGUGCUUUUUAGCGGAGAUUUAGGCUGACAGGGGGAUGGUGUAUAUUUUACCCGGGGUGUGUUUAAUAAAAAAAAAAAACUAAAAGCGUUGCUCACACACAUAAAGAGUAUUGAGAUUAAAUAAAGUUAAUAUAAUGGAUAGAGCCCAGAACAGGAAAAUACAUAAGUAAAAUCAAAUGUAAUGUUUGAUUUCACUUUUAUUGGGAAACAAUCAGGCUAGAAAUGUGAGUAACCUAUGUUUAAACUGUGAAAACACUCUCCACAUACAUUAAAACUGUGCAACUCUGAGUGGGCCAUGCAAUCAAGCAACUGUUACAUAUCUGUAUUAAACUAGCCAACAUAGACUCACCACCACAUGAUGUUGCCCUGCAGCGGGGGCAGAAAAUCAUUUCCAAACCAGGGAUCUUAUGUUGAUUAUCAUAUUCUUACUUAUGUACACACACACACACAGAAGGGAAAAAUUUCA